GAUGAACGCUAGCUACAGGCUUAACACAUGCAAGUCGAGGGACCGGCGCACGGGUGAGUAACACGUAUCCAACCUGCCCUUUACUCGGGGAUAGCCUUUCGAAAGAAAGAUUAAUACCCGAUAUAAAGGAUGGGGAUGCGUUCGAUUAGGUUGUUGGUGAGGUAACGGCUCACCAAGCCUUCGAUGGAUAGGGGUUCUGAGAGGACGGGCCCCGACAUUGGAACUGAGACACGGUCCAAACUCCUACGGGAGGCAGCAGUGAGGAAUAUUGGUGAAUGGGGGCUAGCCUGAACCAGCCAAGUAGCUGGAAGGAUGAAUGCUUAGUGGUCUUAAACUUCUUUUAUAGAAGAAUAUGUAUUAUAUGAAUAAGGAUCGGCUAACUCCGUGCCAGCAGCCGCGGUAAUUC
rnacentral:rRNA from 1 species